AACACUUUAUAAUUGCAAUGCAUUGUGCUUUUAAGAAUGUACCAGUCUCUGUUCAAUUUAUAGGUCAUAAAGUGUUUUUAAAUACAUUAAUCUUUACAAUUCAGGUGAAGUUUGUUAAUAACACUAGAUAUGGAAACCACCAAGUGGGAGGAAGUGGCUUAGUCAAAACUGGGACUGAAGAAAGACUGGGUUUUCAAUUCCUCUCCUGGAGAUUUUUUGUACUGCAUGAAAGUUGCUACCUCAGUGUUUUUAAGGAGCAACUCUUAGUCAUGGAAAGGAGACUUCCUACUCCUCACCUUAGACUCAGGCCCAGUGUCUCCUUAAAUGCUGCCUUCUUGCAGCUGGCCUGGUGGUCCAGUGGGCUGAGCUUUCAGUUCGACAGACCCCACUCACCAAAGAAAGGGCCUCACUGAAUGAUCAGUAGUAGUGAUGAUAAUAAAAAUAAAGUUGGUGCUUAUCAAUUACUUAUUCAUUCCAGGUUCUGUUCUAGGUAGUUUACAAGUCUUAGCUGAUUUGAUAUUCUUGGAAAGCCUAGGAAGUAGGCACUAUUAUUAUCUCAGUUUUACAGACAGUGCACCUGAGGCACAGAGAGGUUAAGUGACUUGCUCCAGCUCACAGCUAGAAAAUUGCCAGUAUGUAAAAUUUGCAUUUUCAUUUUUUUCUUAUUAAAAGUGCUUACAAUUAUUGUUGUCCUUUAACCUGAGCUGUUCAGUUUUUUUUACUUUGGGCAAAGAUCCUCUUGUCCUUAAACCUCUGUUUCUAAGCUGUAAAACAAUUGGUCUGAACCAGUUGAUUUCUAGAGUUCUCUCUAGUUCUGUACAUCUAGCGGUCUACACACCGCAUGUCCUACUUCACGCUGUGUGGACCUAGGCUGAGUUAUCACGCCCUAUUUACCCUUUCCUGCCCUACCCGACCCUGUUUGCAGGGGUAAACAAGUCACAUACCAUUACUGUUUUUAUUUAUCUACCAAACAUCAGGUGUGCUGACCCUUCAAAACAUUUUGGGAAAAGCAGGGGAAGGAAAUAACCACUCCUUUUCUCCUUCCUCCCACUUUACUUCUGAAAAUACCCAUUUAGCAAACCCUUCCCCCAACAAUAAUACAAAUUCCUCCACUAAGCAAUAGAAGGUUCCAGAUCCUUUCCCUUGUCCAACAUGUUCAUGCAGACAAAGACAAGGAGGUUAAAGGAACAUGAGCAUGAGCUGAAGUGGGGACAUAGGAAGGUGAACCCCCAAGUAAACAUCAGACUCAUGUACAAGGCUCAGAACAGACCACGCGCCCCACGGGUGUGAUGUUGUUGGUGUGUGUUCAGGGCGCACUGUAUUAUUCAAAUUUAAGGUCUUUCAACAUCAGCCACUGCAAGGCCACCCCCUUGUGCCCCGGCAUGGGACAGUUCAGAAAUUCUCUCAGUCUGUCAUCUGGCAUGUGCAGCUGUGAGUUCAGUGGUACACUCCGGGGGAACUCGGACAGAAUCAUCACAAAUUACAAUUUCCUUGUAAUUGACUCAGAAUCAGUGAGUUUUUAAAAACAAUAAAAGAAGUUGAAAUUUGCACCUUUUUACAUAUGAAAAAGUUUUGCAAGGUGCCUUUACCAAGCCUUGAAAUAAAACCCAGUACAGGGGCAAAAGAAAAAAGCUCUAAACCCAAUAGAUGGAUGGAUUCUGAAAAAAAUAAGAAUAAUUGUUUAUGUGGUAUUUGGCAUUCUAACCAGACGGGGUUAAAUCCCUGCUCAAGUUGGCGCAUUUUCUUCCCUAUGAAGUAAGUGCUCAGGUAUGUCCAGUGAUCGUUCUCUGCACGCACCUAGCUCUUCCUUUAUGGCACAUGUCUCCACUUGCCUGCAGCCUGAUCCUCCAUAUUUCGCUUCUGACUCUAAAUAACCAUGAUCACUCAUGAUGAGAUGACAGGUUAAUGAGAUGGCUGUGACAUGUUGAGGAAGUUCUGUUCUGCUUAUGAAGAUGGGACUAUCUCAUUUAUAAUGUAACUUUGGUCUUUUGACAGAGGGCAAGGGCCUCAUAUCACUUUUUGCUCUGUGUUUUCAUGAUGGGUGUUAGUCAAGGACUUAGUUCUUCCACCAUGGAGAGGCAGGUCUAACGUGGGGAUGCCAGGGCUGGGGGACAGGUGGACGUUUCUUCCUGUGUCUCCCACAGCCCUUUUACAGAGAGAGGUGGGGAGCUGUCUCCGGGAAGAGAGAAAGGUUCAUCCUCAUGUCAUGUAAUUAACCUAUUGCUUAGCAAAUGCACAAGGCUGAUACGCACCUCAGUACCAAUGCUCAUGUCACUUUCUUCCUUCUUUUCAUAUGGGAUUUUGUGACUCAGAGCUGGCCUCCAUCAGUCAGGAAGGGGUGCGCAUGCUGACUUUGGCACGGGUCAUUUUCUCCAGCAACAAGAGGGCCUGCUAAGCCCCACUCACAGUGACCUUAACCUAGGUCCUAGUUCGAUCAAAUAGCCAGAAGCAAAGGUAAUUACUUGAUGCAUAAUCACCAUUUGAAUUUUCUGCACCACUGUAUUACAGUUAGAGGAAAACAAAUCCUGCCAUGUGUACAUGUUUCCUGUCAAGGGCGUAAUGCAGAUGUCAACAGCAUCCUUUUAAGUCAAUAUUUGCCAGGGAAAGCACACGGCGUUCUGUACUAUUAUUUGCCAAAUUAAUAAAAACAUUGAAUUUGCUACAUAUUUAAACACAAGCACUGUGAGGCACAACAGGAAAACAGCAGGCCUUUAUUUUAAUAAAAUCAAAUUCAUGCAUGCUCUGAUAGGCAUACAAGUUUUAUACCUUGUAGAUCAUGGAUGGAGUUUUCUGCCCAGUAUCUCAUGGGGAAAAAACAGCUUUAAAUACUUCAUUGGAAAGUGAAAUUGUAUCUUUAUUGGAUUUCCUGCAGAUGAAACUGAAUAGAUGAAUAAUAUAUAUGUCAUAUGCCAAUAAAAAAAGCCCUAUGAUCUACACAGCUGUGACUGACAGGAGCCAAUUGAUGCUUGAAAGUAAAGAAGAUGGAAAAUGAAAGAAUAAAUGGUGGAAAAUUCCACGGCUCAAAUCCCAGUGCUCUCUCAGGGACGGGAGUGUUCCUGGCGCUCCCAAGGGGCCUCUGUUGAGUGUUGGCAUCUUGCCUUAUCUCAGUUUCAAGAUGGAAUGUAAACCACUGUUUUUAGGCAGUGUCCCUGCUCUCUGAAGGGGACUCCAUUAGAUUUGCUGGGACUUUCUGGUCACAACUAUUUCCCUAAAUUCGAGUGAACGGGUAAUGUUUCAAAAGUGUUGGGCAUUAAUGCUCUUAGUGGAAAGAGCAGUCCCCUCGUUGGGAGGUCCACGGCCAGGUUCCUUUCUGUGGGACUCCUGCAGUGAGGUAGGAGGGAUGCUCUUGUGUCUAGGAACACUUUGAUGAGAAUUUUGGCUACUUGUAUACUCCACAGGUAAUAGUAAGAAGUAUCGUUGAAGUUCAUUUGCUGUGGAAGUGAGGGCGACUGCCGGCAGGUGGGUGUGGUGGGCCGGCCAGGCUGGGUGCUGCAGGAGCCUGUGUCCCUUUGUCUUUCUCUGUGUGCAGAAGUUUCAAGGGCAGGUCGGACAAUGCUGGUUGUACAUAAAACCUGGGAGUUUAAAAUUACUUUUAUUUUUUAUGCUGCUUAGCACAAUCUAAUUUUCUAUGUAUGUGAAGUAUUUUUGAACCAAAACCUAAAUUAUCAAAGAAAACAUCUAAUAAACCUAAUUUCUUACUUUCUUGUUUAUUAGAAAGCAAUGAAAGAUUUUUUGGGGGAGCAUUUGUUUUUAAAAUAUUCACUCAAGCUUCUGGAGUUUGAAUUUCUCUUUUCAACUACUUAGAGAUUGUGUGUAUGAUACAGAAAGGUCUGUUUUAAGGACAGUUAAAAGAUCCUGUAGCAUAAAUAGCAUAAGAGUAUAAAUAGCAGUAUAUACAGUAUAAUUAUAAGCUAAUAGAGACUUAUUACUCCUUCAGAAUAUAGAAAUAUUUCAUACUGGCUUAUCACUGUGUUUUAAAUGCCUGCUUUAAAUUAUAAAAUUGAAUUUGCUCUAAAGUUUUCCAAUAUAGAAAGGAUUCUGAGAAAAGCAUCAAUGUUCAAAAUAUGCCCGGGGAAGGGGGAGAGGAUGGAGGUGGGUAGGCAGAGCAGGGGAAGGGGAAGAAGAGGCACAGGCUUCCGGGCAUGAAUAAGCCAGUCCCCGGCAUGUGCGGUACAGCAUAGGGAACACCGUCGAUAACGUGAUAGCUUGGUGUGGUUACGACGGGAACUAGACUUACGGGGAACAUUCCGUAAUGUAUAAAAUACUGACUCACUAUGAUGCACACCCAGACUGACAGGAUGCUAUGUGUCGGUGCUGCAGUGCAGCGGCCGUGUGCAUGGUCGGUGGCUGCCGGCAGAGCCUGAUCAACCACCCCACAGCCUUUGUGCUCAGGAUUGGGACACGCCUGUUAGGGGUGCCGUUGGGGGGAUCGCUCCCCUGGCACAUGAGACGUUUAGUGCGGUCAGGCCACAUGCUUCUGUUUGGCUGCAGUAGGUCCCGCAGCCCAGGCUCUGAGGAGAGCGUUAAAGUGAGUGCUCACGGUGUAAAGUAUUUUCCUUUAAAAUGGUUGGGAAAGACUUUCUUAUAAAGUUGUCUCUUCUUGAAAUUUAGACGUCUAACAAGAUGCAGUCGAAUGAUUUCCCUUUGAUCUAAUAAAGUGUAUGACUCAUGGGAUGAAAUGCCUUUGCUGAUAAAGAAUGUGGCCACUGAGGAAUUUGAACCAGUAAGGAAAGCACAGUGUGCAUAGCUUUUAGUGACACAGCGACACAGUAUGACUUAGGAAGUUCUUUUGGUGGGAAGUUACAGAGAGUGACUUAAGAAAUAGAGAAUUAGUGAGAGUGGUCCUGAAGGCUCUCACAGGCUCUGAGGGUGAGUAGAAGUAGGCGUUAGGACGGGGAGGCUCAUGGCAAUCUAGAGGUCACGCAGAUGACUCCCAUCGGGACACUGGAUCGGCACCAGCAUCCCAGCUCUUGGGAGAAAAAGGUCUUUUGGGGCCCAUGUGGGUCAGGGUCCCUCCUGGAUCUGAUUGCUAGGGUGAGAGGGCCAGGACCACGCACAGACCUGGCUUCUAGGGCCCCGCACAGUCGUGUAGCACAGCAGCCGCAGCAAGAGAUGUUGUGUUUAGGAAUUACAGCUUACCAGUUCUCUGUGACUGUUUAUAUAUACAGAUAAUUAAAAAUCUAGUGGUUUCUUACACACCCCGUAGCUGUAGGUGGCAUAGUUGUGCAGGGUUAUUACAAUUAGUUUCAAGGGCCAUCACCUUCGCUAGCAUUGCCUGACCCUCCUGUCACAAACAGAGACGUGAUGACUGGGAAGCAGCAUGGAGCACAGGGUCAGAGAGUGAGCAUGGAAGCUCAGAUGCCUGUGCCAUCAACGUGCUGAUCUGUGCACGCCUUUGCUUCACCUUUGCGCACUCAAGAGACCCUGUUAGUUCAUUCACUGGUUUGAUUCAUCUCUUUGGGUGUCCUGUUUGUGUCAGCUUCUGUAUUAAUCCCCAGGAAUGCAACAGUAAGCUUGUCACGCUCUGGAUCCCAAUGAUUUUCCAGAGUCUAGAAGGCAGUUCCAUUCAGUGGAUUCAAGUGAGUUUAGGGUAAGUCAGAGACUCUAGGGAAGCACAGUUUAGAGAAACCAGUACAGGUUUUGGGGUCUGGCUGCCAGGGAGGACUUCCUGGGAGAGUAAUCAGGAUGGAAAUGGUGACGUGGAGUUGGGAGAGGGUAGACGGAGGCAGUGAAAGAGCGGUUCAGCCAGAACAUGUAAAAUCCCGCAGUAGGGGGCGUUUUCCCCUAGGAGAAUGGCACCUGGGACGGUACGGAUCACGGAGGGCAGGAGGGCAGCUGUCACCAGGUGAAGCUAGAGUCAGAUGAUGAAAGGUCUGGUGACCUACAUGAAGGACUUUAUUUUUUAGGACGGUGUGGUCUUAUUAAAUAGGGGAUACGUGAUCAUAUUUUUGAAUCAUAACUGUGGAGACUGGACUACAGCAGGUAAGACUGGAGGUGGGGACGUUAGUCAGAAUAACAGGAGCCCAAGAGAAGGAGCAGUGGAUUCAACCAAACUGAUGCUGAUGGUGGAGGAAGGAAGGGGGUGAGAGGAGAGAUUGAUAGGAUGCGUCUCUUGCUGGGAAAUGUGGAGUUGUGGGUGAGGAGAGGGGACGAGGACUGGGCCAGGCUUUGGGAUCAGGCUGCCCUGGGGACAGCAGGGACGGUGACUGGGAUGAAGAAGAGCAGGUGCUUAGGACAAGGUGUACAUUAAAUGCUCACAUUACAGCCAAAUGGAGGUGCCCAGUAGUUAUCGCAGGUCUGAGAAGAGGGUCUGCGUGGAGAUGUGUAUUAGGGAGUCAGAGUAGAUGGGAGGGUGCUGAGACAGGGGGUACAGAGAGCUGCUGUUGCUUCUCCCAGCCUUGCUGGGGCCCCGAAAUGGCGAUGCCAUAAAGACAUGGGGUUUCAUAGCCUCCUUAGGGGAUCUGAUACUGGCACCUUUGAGAACCAGCUCUGGAGACACUGAGACAGACUGUGUGGGCCAGGGAAGGUGCCCUUUGGCAAAGUCCUGCUGCUACAAAGGCCAAGAAGACAUCGUCUUCCCUACAGAGUAUCGUGUGCAAAUGGGCUGUUAGGAGUGAGAACAGUCUCCGGGGCCUGCUUUCCAUCCUUACGCAUGGAGCUCUGACCACUCACCCGGACACACGGCUUCUCCUCACCAGGGCUGGGGCCACGUAGCUGGAAUGCCUAGACGCCACUGGUUGUAUCUUAGCUCCUCUCUAGACCCAGCUCAUUGCUGAGGCCUAGCAAGUGGCGGCGCUCAGGAAUAUUCAUGGACUGUGUGGAAGUCUGUGCUGGACUCGCCUGCCCUGGACCUCGGGCUUCCUCCUAUGCAGUCAUGCCCCGUCUUCUCAGAGUGGGGGUAGGGUGUCAGCAGGUGAGACUGGGGCAAGGUCCAUGCCUUCUUAAGCUCCUGUUUCCCUGUAUGAAGGGCUUAGAAGUUCUCUGGCACUUGGGAUCCCAGAAUGUGGGAAAGACUCCCAAAACUCCAUCAACAAAUCUUUAUCCUCAAUUUUUGUUUGAUUUCUUCCUUAUGUUAAUCAGUUUUAAAACUUAUUAGUGAAAGGUUACAGCCAGGGGAGGAAAUAGCAUUAAUGGCUAUAUCAGUCAGGCUCCCUCUGGUUGCAAAUGAGAUAGACAUCUAACCCCAAGUGGCUUAAACAAUGCAAAGUACAGCUCUGGUCUGGCUUUGUAUCCUGCUCAGCAAUGGGCCAUGAGGGGUUAUGCUUGUCAAUUUUGGUUCCACUUCCUCUGGGUUGAUUCUAUUCUUCUAUGAUUGCAGGGUAGUUACUGGGAACUAUAAAGUCUUUCCAAGUUGAAAUCCCACAGGAAAAAAGGGGGAGAUGUUUUACUGUAGCAUCUCUGCUGAAGUCUCCCUGCCUCUGAUGGAGUCAUCUGGCCAUCCAGAGCAUGUAAGAUGAAGCACUGGGAAAUGCUGUUUGCCUAGAUUGGACCUAAGCUCUGCUCUGAGCCCAAGACAUUAGCAAUCGACCACAGUACCUUUUCUCAGUAUCUGGACACAGCAGCCUUGUCAUGGAGGCAGUGGGCCGCCGAUGGUCCCCCAGGGCUGCAAGCAGCUGAGCAUUGGCCAUGACACAGGAAGAUCCGAUCACCCUCUGAGAAAACUGCGCCUCUCCUCGGGGGGUCCAGGCAGGAGAGGGUUCUUCGGUGUGGCUGGAACUGCUCACCGAUGAGCACCUUUUUGUUGGCACCCUUUUUUGUUUCUUUCUCUGUGUGUUAGCUUAUUAUUAAGAAAUAUUUUGUUCAUAGGUUCUGAGAAGCUCUGGAGUUGUGAAAUAGUCAUAAAUUUGUUCUUCUCAGGGUGGACAUUAAAAGCACUGGGAAACA